GAUGAACGCUGGCGGCGUGCUUAACACAUGCAAGUCGAACGAUGAAGCCCAGCUUGCUGGGUGGAUUAGUGGCGAACGGGUGAGUAACACGUGAGUAACCUGCCCUUGACUCUAGGAUAAGCCCGGGAAACUGGGUCUAAUACUGGAUAGGAACGUCUACCGCAUGGUGGGUGUUGGAAAGAAUUUCGGUCAUGGAUGGACUCGCGGCCUAUCAGCUUGUUGGUGAGGUAAUGGCUCACCAAGGCGACGACGGGUAGCCGGCCUGAGAGGGUGACCGGCCACACUGGGACUGAGACACGGCCCAGACUCCUACGGGAGGCAGCAGUGGGGAAUAUUGCACAAUGGGCGAAAGCCUGAUGCAGCGACGCCGCGUGAGGGAUGACGGCCUUCGGGUUGUAAACCUCUUUCAGUAGGGAAGAAGCGAAAGUGACGGUACCUGCAGAAGAAGCACCGGCGAACUACG
rnacentral:rRNA from 1 species